GGCCUUGACAUACUAAGAACUUUCCAGAGAUGGAUUGGUGCCUUCGGGAACUUAGAAUACAGGUGCUGCAUGGCUGUCGUCAGCUCGUGUCGUGAGAUGUUGGGUUAAGUCCGCAACGAGCGCAACCCUUUUCCUUAUUUGCCAGCGGGUAAUGCCGGGAACUUUAAGGAUACUGCCAGUGACAAACUGGAGGAAGGCGGGGACGACGUCAAGUCAUCAUGGCCCUUACGGCCAGGGCUACACACGUGCUACAAUGGUCGGUACAAAGGGUUGCUACCUCGCGAGAGGAUGCUAAUCUCAAAAAGCCGAUCGUAGUCCGGAUCGCAGUCUGCAACUCGACUGCGUGAAGUCGGAAUCGCUAGUAAUCGCGGAUCAGAAUGCCGCGGUGAAUACGUUCCCGGGCCUUGUACACACCGCCCGUCACACCAUGGGAGUUUGUUGCACCAGAAGUAGGUAGUCUAACCGCAAGGAGGACGCUUACCACGGUGUGGCCGAUGACUGGGGUGAAGUCGUAACAAGGUAGGCGUAGAUGA
rnacentral:rRNA from 1 species